GACGAACGCCGGCGGCGUGCUUAACACAUGCAAGUCGAACGGAAAGGCCCUGCUUUUGUGGGGUGCUCGAGUGGCGAACGGGUGAGUAACACGUGAGUAACCUGCCCUUGACUUUGGGAUAACUUCAGGAAACUGGGGCUAAUACCGGAUAGGAGCUCCUGCUGCAUGGUGGGGGUUGGAAAGUUUCGGCGGUUGGGGAUGGACUCGCGGCUUAUCAGCUUGUUGGUGGGGUAGUGGCUUACCAAGGCUUUGACGGGUAGCCGGCCUGAGAGGGUGACCGGCCACAUUGGGACUGAGAUACGGCCCAGACUCCUACGGGAGGCAGCAGUGGGGAAUAUUGCACAAUGGGCGGGAGCCUGAUGCAGCAACGCCGCGUGCGGGAUGACGGCCUUCGGGUUGUAAACCGCUUUCGCCUGUGACGAAGCGUGAGUGACGGUAAUGGGUAAAGAAGCACCGGCUAACUACGUG
rnacentral:rRNA from 1 species